AAUCUUGGACAAUGGGGGCAACCCCGAUCCAGCCACCCCGCGUGUGUGAUGAAGGCCCNCGGGUUNUNAAGCACUUUUGGCAGGGNCGAAACGCCGCGGGUUAAUACCCUGCGGUGCUGACGGUACCUGCACAAUAAGCACCGGCUAUCUACGUGCGCGCAGCCGCGGUAAUACGUAGGCUGCAAGCGUUAAUCGGAAUUACUGGGCGCAAAGCGUGCGCAGGCGGUUCGGCAAGAAGGAUGUGAAAUCCCGGGGCUUAACCUCGGAACUGCAUUCUUAACUGCCGGGCUAGAGUAUGUCAGAGGGGGGUAGAAUUCCGCGUGUAGCAGUGAAAUGCGUAGAGAUGCGGAGGAAUACCGAUGGCGAAGGCAGCCCCCUGGGAUAAUACUGACGCUCAUGUACGAAAGCGUGGGGAGCAAAC
rnacentral:rRNA from 1 species